rnacentral:misc_RNA from 1 species
CGCACAUUGCGCCCCUUGGUAUUCCGGGGGGCAUGCCUGUUCGAGCGUCAUUUCAACCCUCAAGCUUUGCUUGGUCUUGGGCUCUGCCGGCAACGGCUGGCCUUAAACGCAGUGGCGGUGCCAUUCGAGCUCUACGCGUAGUAAUUAAACCCUCGCGAUUGAGUCUUGAUGGUUGCUUGCCAAAACCUCAAACUUUUUUAUGGUUGACCUCGGAUCAGGUAGGGAUACCCGCUGAACUUAA